rnacentral:lncRNA from 1 species
GGAGGUCCUCGGCUCGCCCUGGGCGCGGAGCGAGGACUCUGGUCAGAGGUAAUUAUGUCACCGCGUUUUCUCGCCGUGACAGCCGAAUAAACACGAUCUCCAAUAAACAUCUCUAAUGAGGGAGGAGGCCCGAGGAUGGCUGGGUUUGAUUUAUGACUGGAGGAGAAGGUCCACUUCCCACUGCGAAGCAGGCGACCUGCUCGCCGCCCAGCUCCAGGGAGAGGAACCCGCGGAGGAGAGGAUCCCGGCCCAGAAUAAGGAUAAUAAGAGUAUCAACCUCAGAGGAUCACUGCAAGAAUUGAGUGGGAUACAUAUGACGUGCUUAGCACAGUUUGUGGCCCAUGCAGUUCCUGGGGGUCUGGUGAGAAGAAGACAGGCCUGGAGUUGAAGGAGAGAAAAAAGGCUGGGCUGGCCUGUUGGAAGGAGACUUCCACCUCUGCAAGCAUCCCCAUCUUGUUUGGAUUGCAAACUCAGUUGCCAGCCAAGCAAGAUGAGGGGAACGGCUUUGGACUCGGGCUGACUUGGACCACAUCCCAUCUCUGCCGCCAUCUGAGCUCUGUGACCGUGAAGUGCUCCUACCACCCUUCUGAGCUUUUGUUUUCUUCACCUGUAAAAGUGCAGGAAGAAUACUUACCUGUCACCAGAAUAUUCCAAGAAUUAGAAUUAAUGUUUGGAAAGUUGUUGACACCUAGCAGGUACUCAAAAAAUGGUGGCUAUUACUACUACAUUCUACAGUCUCUGCGCUACUUUGAAAGGACUUGCUUCUAGGGGAGCUUAUUUCUAAUGGGGAGAUAUUUUGGUUUUGAAGUAAAAUCUAUACCGUGUUAGAUGGGAGGUGUGCUUUAGAGAAAAAAUAAAGCAGGGAUGGGAGACUGAGAUGGCUGGGGAGCCUGAGGAAAGCCCCAUUUAUAGGUCUAAGAAUGAGAGAGAGUUUCUUUCUUAAAUUCCCUCUCCCUACUUUAUCAAAGAGAUUUUACUUCCAAAUAAGUGUAAACGGGAAAAGGGAACAGAGCCUGAAAGACACUCAAAACAGACACUCAAAAAUGCUGUCCUAGGGAGUCAGCUGGGGUGUCAUCACUGACGUGGGACUUAGGGUGUUGAGCUGGAGUCCUGGUUUGUCAUUUGAAAAGAGAAAUCCUGAUCAAGUUGUUGUACUGCUCUUUGACUCUAUUUCCUUAACUGUAAAUUAGAGGUAAGAAUCCCUGUCUCACGUGCACGAGCAGGAGAGGCUUUCUGGUCUGUUGGGAUUCUCAGAUUCACAAGGAUCAGGACGUGGCCAUUGAAAGCUGCCAUCCCAAGAGGCAAAACUAUGGAAGAUAGGAAGGAAAUCCGUACUUACCUCACUCUGCUCCCUCCUCCUUUCCGUGCCUGCGUGCACACACACACGCAUGCACACACCCUGAGGUUGUCAGGGGACUAGAGGUGUUGUCCUUGAAAGUGAAAGUCAUUCCAAGGCAAAGGAAAUGUACUGGUGUUGAGAAGGUUCGGUAGGGCCCCUUCCAACGGGAAUGGCUGACUCGCCAUGUCCUCUAAAGAUGCUGCCUUGAUUCGUGGAUUUCAGCAUUGUCCAAGCUCUGUGGCACCAUGGACUGGUUGUAUGUCACUGACAAGCAAAUGCUUAGUCCUGUGCUGUAUAUAUUUACUGUACCAUAUAAAUAAUAAA